AGGGUUCGAUCCUGGCUCAGGAUGAACGCUGGCGGCAUGCCUAAUACAUGCAAGUCGAACGAACUACCUCUAUGACCUUGAAAGUGCUUGCACUGGAUUGUGAUUAGAAUUUGUAGUUAGUGGCGGACGGGUGAGUAACACGUGGGUUACCUGCCACACAGAAUGGAAUAACUAUUGGAAACGAUAGCUAAUACCGUAUAUGACCUUCGGGUUGAAAGGGGCGUUUGCCUCGCUGUGUGAUGGGCCUGCGGCGCAUUAGCUAGUUGGUAAGGUAAAGGCUUACCAAGGCGACGAUGCGUAGCCGGACUGAGAGGUCGAUCGGCCACAUUGGGACUGAGACACGGCCCAAACUUCUACGGGAGGCAGCAGUAGGGAAUUUUCCGCAAUGGACGAAAGUCUGACGGAGCAAUGCCGCGUGAGUGAUGAAGGUUUUCGAAUCGUAAAGCUCUGUUGUAAGGGAAGAACAGCACUAGUAGGAAAUGGCUAGUGUGUGACGGUACCUUACCAGAAAGCCACGGCUAACUACGUGCCAGCAGCCGCGGUAAU
rnacentral:rRNA from 1 species